UCCCUGGUGGUCCAGUGGUUAAGACUAUGCCUUCCAAUGCAGGGGACACAGGUUCAAUCCCUGGUCAGGGAG
rnacentral:tRNA from 1 species